UACAGAGGGUGCAAGCGUUGUCCGGAUUUAUUGGGCGUAAAGAGCUCGUAGGCGGCUUGUUGCGUCAGCUGUGAAAACCCGCAGCUCAACUGUGGGCUUGCAGCUGAUACGGGCAGGCUUGAGUUCGGCAGGGGAGACUGGAAUUCCUGGUGUAGCGGUGAAAUGCGCAGAUAUCAGGAGGAACACCGGUGGCGAAGGCGGCUUGCUGGGCCAGUUCUGACGCUGAGGAGCGAAAGCGUGGGGAGCGAACAGG
rnacentral:rRNA from 1 species